GCAGAAACUGAAGAAAUGGUGCUGCACACGUCGAAAAGGCUCAGAAAUCUGUCCUUAGAAAAGGGCAAGAGCACCAAAGGAAUUAUAACUGCCAUGGCCUCUAUGGCACCUUUGUCACAGGAGCAUGCUGACAUGGACAUAUUCACUGGAGAGGCCAUCGAUGUUGUCAUCGGAUCCUCAAGAGAUGACGGAAAGGUAACUUUAAAAGUCAUAGAACUGUUUUUUAAGGAUCGAUGUUACAUUUACGUUCUGAAAGGGCUCGUACAUUUCAGAGUGGGGAAAGAAACUGAACUAUGUCCCUUUUGUUUUUCCGUUAUGGAUGUAAGUAGCUGUGUAUGAUCCACGAACUAGAUUUAUGGCCGAGUACCAUAUUUAUUCAAAUCUAGGCCGGUCUCACUCCUAAGCCAGCACCUGAAGGUCUGAAGCCGGUGAAAAAAGUGUUUUUCUUGAAUGUAAGCCGGACAAGUUAGGGCAACAGACAUAAAACGCGAACAGCAUUUAUUAGUCACGACCCGUCCCAGCCCAUGCAGUGUUGUUGUUGCUGCUAGCCUUGUUGCUUACCUUCUUAUCGUUGUCAGCAUAAAAGAGCAGACAAUUUUUGGUGCCAUUUAGUGCACUUUAGAUGCUGCACUCCUUGAAAGCAUGCAAUCAAGCUUCAUGGUGUGUCCCAUGCUGCAGUGACCCAGCUCGCCACUUGUGUUAUGUGCAUUUAGUACAACCUGUUGCUGUUAGCUUAUACGCUUUAUCACUCGGCCAGAUCGCGAAGUAUUUCCGCAGGCAAUCCAUCCUCAAAAUGCUUGUUGAUACAGACGUCAAGUGGCUGAGGCUGGUCCAUCAUGCCACCUGGUAUAAUAGCGAUGUCCAUUCAAGCUUGGGAGAGCACAGCCUUCAUGCUGUCAGUAAGGUGCCCACAGUACAUAUCAAGGACAAGGAGACAGUUCUUGGGUGACGUUGCCAUGUGAUCCUAAUCCACUAGUCAAACGUGGCACUCGUCAUUCGCCUGUUCGCAUUUGCCUGUGUGGCAGCAUUUCUGGGAAAGGCUUCUUAAGCCGGCAGUGGCUUCUUCUUAUAAAUUAUGUAUGCAGGCAGCUUAUGUCUAUCAGCUGUGCCAUGCAGCAUCAUGAUCGCAUGUUGCUUUCCGCAAGUGGCCGAGUACAUGACGCCCCUUUGGUGCUGUUGUCAUUGGCUUGCUACACCACAGACAUACCAAAAUAAAUGAAAAGGGGUCAGUUUACAGCACUCUACUGCAGCCACUUUUGAUUGGCUGGAGUGGCCAAGUAGAAAAUCUGACCCUGGUAAUAUGCUUGCUCUGGUAUUUUUGUCUCACAUAAAUGUUUUAGUUGUGUUUAUUGUUGCUUAACACUAUUGCCACAAUUUCCUGUGUAGAACAGUGUCCCAUGAAAGCACAACUAUGCUUGCUCUCAAUGCAUACAAAUGUACGAGAAGUGUUUGCAGAUCAUCUGCAUUUGCUGGUGGUAGUAAAAUUAAGAGUGUGCAGAAAUGACAGCAGUGGGAUAGUGGGCAUGAAGAAACAGUUCUGUGCGAGACUAGCUUGAUGGCUCCUCUAACUAAGCCGCCAUAAAGCGAUCUCGGUGCUUGUGGAGAUGGCCAUUUUCGCUGCGUCUUCCAAGCCCAUAAAAAAUUGCUGCCACACAGAAGAAAUAACUAUAUAAAAUGAAAUUGUACUUCUACUAUAAGUUAGAUGGUGCACUGCGCUCGUAGUGACGCAGGUCUCCAAAACAGCGCGAGAAAACAUAAUUGGUGGACUAAUUAAUCCUUUAUUAUGGUAAUGUCACUUGUGUGAUGAAAUCUAGGGUUUGACGAAAACUUGUCUGGCGAGGAAAGAACAUGGCUGAAUAAACAUACACUCGCCAACUGAAGAACACAAAAACAACAGAUUGACGUUUUGGCACUCACUACGGGUGCCUUGUUCACAAUGAACGAAUGCAUGGUGAUCUUUAUUAUAUAUGCGUUGGAAGACGUAAGGCCCUUGCGUACAACUCAAGGAGGGGGCCCCGUGUCCGGUUUAUUGUGUUAGUCGUAGAUUGUAGUAUGCAAAAUGAUUCAAGAAGCUAUCGGGAUAAUUUCUUCUCUCUUUUGAUGAUGAAAGCCGAAUGCCAGUUAAUACUGUGACCAGUCUUCUCAUGAUGCUCUGCUAGGGCGCUGGAAACCGUGUGUCCUUUGGCUACAUCAUUGCGGUGCUGCUGUAGCCUUCUUUUAAAGUUUCCCGUCUCGCCUACGUAGCACGCCUGGUAGUCCUGGCAUGGAAUUUUGUAGAUGAUGCCGGGAUAUUUUUCUUUUUCGAGGCAGUCUUUGACUCGGACGAGUUGUUGUUUUAGCUUGCUUGAAGGGACAUGGCAGAUUUGUACAUCAUAAUCUUUGAAAAUUCUUGACAUUGACUCGUUCACGCUUCGUGCAUAGGGGAGAGCCGCCCGUUUCCUUGUUCUCAUCGGCCUGAUGGGGGUUCAGCGGCACGCUUUUCUUCAGUCUUUAUAAACUGGCUAGGGUAGCCAUUGCUGACCAAAUCCUGCGUUACUCUCUUCAACUCAGCUCUGCGUGCGUCAGUAGUCGAGCACGAUCGGAAUGCACGGGUGAACAGUGUAGAGGCAACAGAUCGUUUGUGUCCAACGGGAUGGGCCGAAUAAAAGUGCAGAUACUUCCCUGUGUGCGUAGGCUUCUGAUAAAUGCUUGUUGAAAGGCCGGAUGCAGUACGCAUGACUUCAACGUCAAGUAAAGCCAGGCGACCAUUAACUUCUUUUUCAACGGUGAAUUCUAUUGUGCUUUGGAAAGCCCUCGAAGGUAAAGCCCUCACGACAUUCCAGCCCGCUCCAAAAUUGUUCCUGCGGUAUGUCGACGAUUGUUUUUCCAUUAUCUGCCGCAAAGACGUCGUACCUUUUCUGCAGCACUUGAACUCUUUCCAAAGCACAAUAGAAUUCACCGUUGAAGAAGAAGUUAAUGGUCGCCUGGCUUUCCUUGACGUUGAAGUCAUGCGUACUGCAUCCGGCCUUUCAACAAGCGUUUAUCGGAAGCCUACGCACACAGGGAAAUAUCUGCACUUUGAUUCGGCCCAUCCCGUUAGACACAAACGAUCUGUUGCCUCUACACUGUUCACCCGUGCAUUCCGAUUGUGCUCGACUACUGAUGCACGCAGAGCUGAGUUGAAGAGAGUGGCGCAGGAUUUGGUCAGUAAUGGCUACCAUGGCCAGUUUAUAAAGACUGAAGAAAAGCGUGUCAUCAGGCCGAUGAGAACAAGGAAACGGGCGGCUCUCCCCUAUGCAUGAGGCAUGAGCGAGUCAAUGUCAAGAAUUUUCAAAGAUUAUGAUGGACAAAUCUGCCACAUCCCUUCAAGCAAGCUAAAACAACAACUCGUCCUAGUCAAAGACUGCCUCGAAAAAGAAAAAUAUCCCGGCAUCGUCUAUAAAAUUCCUUGCAAGGACUGCCAGGCAGGCGUGCUACGUGUGUUUUUCAGUUGGCGAGUGUACGUUUAUGCAGCCAUGUCACGUGUGUGAAGGUUUUUUUUUUCUGUAUGUGUACAUUAAUGUUGAUGGCAUAAUUAUGUAAUCAUGCAGUCCUUGGAACGCAAUGCUUGUGCACAUUUCUAUAUUGCAUCUAGUGACCGCACAGAUCAACCUGAAAAUAAAGAGUGGUCCUACAGACAACACAUGUAUUUGAAAUUCGGCUACCCAAUGUCAAGGUAGAUGUUAGUGAGUUCAUCGAGCUAUAGAUAGCAGUGAAUAUUCUUGCAGAUCAUUGUCAAUUUAACAAAUUCAGCGAUUGCUAUUUAUGCUUGGGAGAUUUUUAUGUGGGAUUGUCUAAAAGAUUUUUUUAAAUUUUACUGUAUAAUUUCGUUCUGCUCAUGCAGGUGAGCCCACUACAACUAAUAAAUGGCCAGAAUGCCAGAAAACAGUAGAGUUGAGAAAAUGCAUAGUGUAUAUCGUCCAGUAUAAAACCUGUUAGCUACAAGCUAUGUAUGUGU